GUUGAUUGCUAGAGAUCAAAAUAUCUAUCUUAUAUAGAAUACCAUCUAUAUUACAUGCAUUAAGAAAAAAGAAAAAUUGAACAUGCUGUUUCCAUGCCUUAGACUAUAUCUCGAUUCAUCUAGCUUUGCAAGUGACUAUCUACCGUAUGUGGCGCGAGUAACACAGAAGACGGCAUCAGCAACAUCGUCACCUUCAAGCCAUAACUAAUAGCAUACAAAACCAUAUCAUCAGCUCACUUUGUCAACGAAACCAAUUCAUACAGUGUUCGCUUUUCAAUGGUGGUUUAGCCGAAGAACUUAUCACACAUUUAGAUUUUCUGUCUAUAUUUCCUUUCUUUCAUUGUAAAUAUUAUUAUUUUUAUCCAUCAAUAAAUUUUACAUUUAAAUAAAAAUUAAGGUCGAUUUUAAGUGUGAGAUCUAGAGACUUCCCCGACGGAGUAGCUAGCUUUAUCUUCUUAUCUAGAGGCUAUUCAGAGCGACACGGAUGACUUUGAUUUUUUAUUUUUAUCUUUGAUUUCUUGACGAAUACAAAAGCGGAUAAUUUGGCACGAAAUGUUCGUACCCAACCACAUCUAAUCAUCUAUGUAAACAAAGUUCUCCGGAAUUGACAAUUUUAAGCUAAUCUAAUCAAGUUGUUGACAAAAAAAAAAGACUUUAAGUCUGAGAUCGAAAUAUUUGGCUUUCUAGAGUUCCAUAUUUUAUUUAAUUUUAUUUUUCUGGUAAAAGAGUUCCAUAAUUUAUUUACAAUAGAAUGAAUUUGAAAAUGUGUAUUUAGACGGUUUUCUUUUCCAAAACCUUUGUUUUUCUGAUAAAAUGUUUUUUUUUUUUCUAUUGAAAGCAAGAGGAUUAAAAAAGUUACACAAUCUCCAUAAGGCUUCGUUGUAAAGACCGGGUCUUUAAGACCCCCAUCAAAUGACACGCCCGUACAUAGGCUUACCGAAACUAAUGUAAAAGCUCAAUGUUUCCUCCCGGGUCGACCCAGGAUCUAGCACGAGCUGAGACAACUUUAAUUUGAGAUGAAAGGAGCUGAGGGAGAUAGCAAAUGUCUCAUUGAAAAAGAUAGAAUUAAAAGCAUAACCGUAACUCCGUAAGAAAAAUUAAUGUUACUCUUCACCAUUCCCUCCUACAAUAUCAACUACUUAUCUCUCUAGAUGGUCGUCGUCGUAAAACUUAGACAAACGAACAUUUUAAGUUGUACUUUUAUUGUCAACGAAAUAGGCUUCCCACUAAAUUAAGGUACGAAACUUGAGACUUAUCACACUCUUGAUUCUUAGUUCUACGUACUUGAGCUGUUGGCGAUUGGUCUCAAAUUAUAGAUUCCUUUUUUAUUAAACAAGCUCUGAUUAGAUUAACAUGUACAAUAUAAAUAUACGCUACAUACAUGUAGAUGAGAAGAUGUUUUCUGUGCAUGUAAACCUGUUUUGGAGAUGUCGUAUCGAAAUGAAAUGAAUAUAUGCUCAUAAUUACUAGAAAUAAUAAUAUUCUCUGGCGUGGGCCAUUUCAAAUGAUUCCAAAUAAGAAAGAGACAUAAAUCACCUCAAAUGCUUAUGAUUAUUAUAUCUUCAUCGUGCCCUCAAUAUCUAUCCAACUUGAUCUCCCGGCCAUUUUCUCAUCAUUGUUUUCCAAAAUGCAUAUGUAUAUGUAUAGUAUGUAAUGUAUAUUAUUGAGUCUAAAUCUAUUCUGAGAUGUUAUGUUUUGUUUAGUGUUAAUUAACCAAACUUACGUAUUACGACCGUCUUCCCUGGUCAAUAAUGACAUUAAAAAGACCGUUUCACCAAAUUAAUCAAAAGAAAUAUUCAAACUUCUUAUACUUUUCAAUUUCAUGUAUAUAGAGCGAUGACUCUAUUUGUCCAUUGACCUUUAUCAAAGAAAAGAAAGUUGACCAUUCUUCUCUAACAUGUAUAGGCUUGUGAACACUUUCUACUAUACACUCUUUAUUUUUAAAUAAUUUAUCAUUUCUAAAUUUUCUUAAGAACUAAAUUACAAAAGG
rnacentral:lncRNA from 1 species